CACAUACACUAAACACAACCUACCCAACAGCUGAAACAGAAAGAAGAAAAGAAAAGAAAGAAGGAAAGGGAAAGAGAGAAGAAGGGGGGAUCCGAGAGAGAGAAGGAAAGCGCUGGGGAAGGGAAAGCCGUUGCGCCAUCACCGCGCCGCUCAGAACUGCUGCCUCGUCACAACCGCCGUCGCGUCGCCAUUUGUGCCAGCGCUGAGGAGACCGCGCGGAAAAGAGAGACGCACGAAGGAGGAGCCCGCGGGUUGUCGGUUUGUCCACGAGCCGCUUCCAGAACCGCGAAGAGAAGAAGAAGCUCGCACCGUCGUAACCUGUCGCCGCCGUUCAUCCUUGCCGCCGCCAGCUGCGCCAUCGGGAAGAGGAGAUGCGCGAAAGAGGGAAGGUCGAUUCUGUCACCACCGCCGCGCCGCGCUCCAUGUUGACGCCGCCACGAGAGAAGGGUGUGCGAGGGAGGAAACAGAACCGCGUGGGAGCUCAGCCAUGGAGAGAAGAGACGCAUGUCGAAUCUGUCGCCGCCGGUCCGCCCAGCCGACCCGUCGCCAAAUCACGUCACCGUCCGUGAAGCUGUCUCCGUCGCCGCUGCCGGAGGUCACCAUCGGAGCCGCCGCUCCACUUCUGUCAUUCUUCAUUUUACAGUUGUUGCUGAGCCACUGAAGCUCCUGGCCGCUGUCGGAGCAGCUGCCGGUUAAGUUUGGGGUGGCUGGCGUGUCGUUCCUUUAUUCUAGAGUUAAUAACCGGGGUUGCAUGUUGUGACUUAAAGAUGUUUAUGCUGUUGCGAAAGGGUGCGGGCUAUGAAUUAAAGCUGUCGUUGGUUUCGAGACAAGAUGAAAGGAAUUCGUUAACGCGUUUGGGUUAUAGGUUCACUUAUCGAGGUCGAUCUUAGAUGAGAUCUUUUGUACUGGUCGGCGCGGUUGUGUCUGACUUGUUGGACUUGGUGGUUGCGCUGAUCUUUCGUCACCGGAGGGUGGUGGUACCUGCGAGGGACUCCGAUGCUUAAGUUAGCAAGGGUCUUAAGUAAAUUUUUUAGUAGAAUCAGAGUAUAAGUUAUACCUGGGUGCUUCAGUGUAUUUAUAAUGGCGUAGAAUGAUCUUUCUUUGGGAUAAAAUAGUUAUCUUAUCUUAUCUUUGAGUGAAGUUAUCUUAUCUUUAAGGGAACCACCUUUAUCUUUCUAGGCUUUGGGCUGCCUUUAGAUUUGGGUCGUGUUCUUCCUUUUUGGACCUUCUUGGGUCUCUGUAGCGAUUUGGCCGACCUCUUUCAUAAAGAGGUCGGGUAGUCCUGGUCUGAACAGGUCGGUCGAUUUGUCGUUGAUCAGCCCGGGUCGUAUAGCUCGACCCAGGGCAUGAACAGUUUCUGAUUGAGAUUUUCUUUUAAGAAAGGAAAGGUUUCGGAUUUCUGAAAGAUUAAACAUUGUUUCUUUGAAAAGGUUUUGAACGUUUACUUAUUGGUUUUUAAAAGAUUCAUAAGGUAAUGAUAAUCACUGAGCUUGAAAACAGUUUUCUUAUUAAAUAUCUUCUUAUGACAACUUUGAAACUCCGUGGUGAGACCGUAUGGUUAGGUUCUCACCUCCCUACAUCUUUACCUUUUCAGGAACCGGAAGAAGAAGCAUCAAGAGGAUUUAUACUGCGUUUGGUUUAUAUGUUGUUGAAUUAAUUAGAUUAUUUUCU